rnacentral:lncRNA from 1 species
AAUUACUCAUCUCAAUAUAUUAAAACAUGAAUUUAUAAUAUAAUAAUGUAAGAAACAUUCAAAUCCCAUCAAAUUAUACGAUCCCAGUACUCAACUUUCAACAUAGAAUAAGCAGAACCUUAUUUCUCCUAAUGAACCAUUCAUAAUUGCCCCAUUAUGUUGUCAUCAUUACUUAUAGUAAUUUUGCCCACUAUCCUAUUCCAUUCCAGAAUUAACACCACACAUAUGGCAAAUAUAGCAACAACAAUAUUUAAUUGAGAGAUUAGUUAGGUCCUAAAUUAAACCAUGAAUUCGACUGAAUUGAACCA